GAUUUUUGAGCAUAGUAUUGGGAGUAGUAUUUAGCACCGAGUUGGGUAUGUUACUACGGUUUCAUACCCCAGAACUACGUGCCACCGUAGGUUGAGAUAUUGACCUCUACUAUAUGUGAAAAACUGAGAGAGUGAUCACUGAGAUGAAAUUGUUCUACACCAAUGGCAAGGGUAGGACAGCCCUAACCUUACGGGGGGCAAGUCGUGGGACAUCAUGGGUGCUCACAUGGUGUACAUGUCGGUUAGAAGAACCUCUCAAAGAGUCGUCCCUCAUUCUUAGAUUGAUUUUACUAAUUUAAAAGAGAUUUGAAAUGCAGAUUUAUGAUGUAUUCAAUAUUCCAAAUUUCACUAAGAUUGCUUGAUGAGAGAAUAAGAAAANNNNNNNNNNNNNNNNNNNNNNNNNNNNNNNNNNNNNNNNNNNNNNNNNNNNNNNNNNNNNNNNNNNNNNNNNNNNNNNNNNNNNNNNNNNNNNNNNNNNNNNNNNNNNNNNNNNNNNNNNNNNNNNNNNNNNNNNNNNNNNNNNNNNNNNNNNNNNNNNNNNNNNNNNNNNNNNNNNNNNNNNNNNNNNNNNNNNNNNNNNNNNNNNNNNNNNNNNNNNNNNNNNNNNNNNNNNNNNNNNNNNNNNNNNNNNNNNNNNNCAUGAUUUGGAAAGAAAACUUAUGACAUGAUCGUUAAAUAUAUAUAUAUAUAUAUAUGUGUGUGUGUGCAUAUAAAUAUAUUUAUUUUAUGCACCCCCAUGUACCCGAUACAUAUUCCAUGGUACUGACCCACAUGUUCGCAUGUGGGCUACAUUUUCCCUAUAAUGUAGGUUCAGGUGCUCAUUCCCAAGUUUGAUCGUGAUUAUCCGAGCACGUUGAUCUACAUCCUCUGCAGUGGUGAUUCCUCAUGGUCCGAGGACUAGUUAUUCAGAUUUCCUCAUUUACUUUGAGUCGUUCAGUUUAUUUCCUGAGUUCAGGUCAGUUGGGGUUUGUCCCAAUGGCUUAUGGAUAUACAGUUUAGUAGAGGCUUGUCAGACUAGAUGGAUAGAUUGAUCAGAUUUGUCAGAGAUGUCAUAUUUUGUUACUUUCCAUAUUUCAUUCGUAUUACAGUAUGAUAUUAUAGAGGAUUUUUAGAUGUUUUGAUUAUGAUGACUUUGAUUAUAAGUGUUGAAUGGUAAAAAAUGGCUAAAAGGGUUAGCUUGGGGCUACUUGUAGCCUUAAGCACCGUGUGAUGCCUCGGGGUCCAUUUUUGGUGCGUUACAAACUUGGUAUCAAAGCCUAAGGUUAUUGGAGUCCUAGGGAGUCUGACAAGCCAUGUUAAGUAGAGUCUUGAUCAUCGGUGUGUCGCGUGCCACAUCUAUGAGAAAGAGGCUACGAAAUGUUUUAGAAAAAAAAAAGGGUCGUUUCAUUCUUUCAGAAGUCUAUCGUGCUUACAAUUGUUCCCUUUCAGCUAUUAAUUCAUGCUCUCUUCUUUCAAAAUAUGCCUCCUCACCGAGCUAGAAGAAAUAAUGCGGGUCAGCAACCUCAGCCUGCAGAUCCCCUGAAUGAGAAUAUAUCCCACACUGAGUUCAGGGUAGCCUUUUAGGCGCUUGCCCAAUCUGUUACCGCCAACGUUCAGGCUAACCAGGCCAUAGCUCCACAACAACAAGGAGGUUACUUUACUUCUGUAAGAAGUCAUGACUUUAUGCGGAUGAAUCCGCCAGAGUUUUAUGGGUUCAAGGUAGGUGAGGAUCCGCAGUUGUAUCUAGAAGAGAUAAGGAAGAUCACACAGGUAAUGCACGUGUCUGAGGAGGAGAGUAUUGAGUUAGCAUCCUACAUAUUGAAAGACCUUGCGUAUGACUGGGUGGUUGCAUGGAGAAAGGGUAGAGUAGAGGGUGCUGCUCCUAUGACUUGGCAGGAGUUCUAGGAUGCAUUCCUGGAUAAAUUCUUUUCGCUAGAGUUGAGAGAGGUGAAAGUAGAGGAGUUCAAAAACUUACAGCAAGGCUCCAUGACUGUUAAAGAGUAUUGCUUGAAGUUCAAUCAGUUAGCAAAAUAUGCCUCAAAUCUGAUAGCCAACAACCGAACCAGUAUGGGUAAGUUCUUGAUAGGGGUGUCAAGCUAUGUGGUUAAGGAGUGUAGAUCAUCUAUGCUUAGUAGUGAGAUGAAUCUUUCCAGACUGAUGAGCCAUGCCCAAUAGAUCAAAUCAGAUAUGAUAAAAAAGAGGGAUAGAGUAAGGAGGCAUAAGAGAGCCAGAUCCGAGCAACCUACUUAUGGUCAGAACAGAUUACAAGGAGGGAAUCGUCCUAUGUUUCAGAGUCGCUCAUCCAUGCCAGCACCAUCGUCAACUAGUGCUCUAGCACUUAGAGAUAGGCAAAAAUAGGGAAACAGGUUUUCUAUGUUCGGAUCUCAAAAUACUAUAAGUAAUCGGACUAACCGUCCACCAUGCACCAGGUGUGGUAGGGAUCACGGGGAUAAGUGUUUGUGAGGUCAGAAGGGCUGGUAUGGAUGUGGACAAGAGGGCCACGGUUUUAGAGAUUGUCCCCAUACCAAAUAGGGGAACCGUGAUGUUCGCCCCCAGGCUCAGACUGCUAGUGCUCCAGCUCCUGUAGCUCGUCCAGCUCCUACUCAUGGUGCUUCUUCCAGCACUGCUGGUGGUCAGCACCAGAACAAAUUCUAUGCUUUGUCUUCCCGUCAAGAGCAGAAGGACUCCCCCGAUGUUAUUACUGGUAUGCUUUGUGUGUUUUAGUUUGAUGUUUAUGCGUUGUUGGACCCUAGGUCCAAUUUUUUAUAUGUGACACCUCUGGUUGCUGUAAAUUUUAAAGUGAGUCCUGAGACUGUCUCUGAGCCCAUCCUAGUUUCUACCCCUGUGGGUGAGUCCAUUGUUGCCUAAAAAGUGUACAAAAAGUGUCCUGUUUUUAUUCUUCAUAGAGUUAUGUUUGCUGAUAUGAUAGAGUUAGACAUGGUAGAUUUUGAUGUUAUUCUGGGUAUGGACUGGCUUCACUCUUGUUAUGCAUCCAUAGACUGUCAUACCCGUGUAGUCAAGUUUCAGUUCCCUGGUGAAUCUGUUAUCGAAUGGUCUGGUAAUUCCGCAUCUCCCAAGAGUCAUUUUAUCUCAUACUCAAGGCUAGAAAGCUUAUUUCCAAAGGGUGCAUUUAUCACCUAGUUAGAGUUGAAGACACUAAGUCUGAGACUCCAACUCUCCAGUCGGUUGACAUUGUUAAUGAGUUUCCCGAUGUCUUUUCGGAAGAUCUUCCAGGGGUACCUCCCGAUAGAGAGAUAGAAUUUGAGAUUGAUCUUCUUCUCGAUACUCAGCCUAUUUCCAUUCCUCCAUAUCGUAUGGCACCUGCAGAACUUAAGGAGUUGAAAGAGCAACUCAAAGAUCUCUUAGAUAGAGGUUUUAUAAGACCAAGUAUGUCUCUUUGGGGGUGCACCUGUCCUAUUCGUGCGAAAGAAAGAUGGCUCUUUGCGUAUGAGCAUUGACUAUCGCCAGCUUAACAAAUUCAUUAUCAAAAACAAGUAUCCCCUUCCAAGAAUAGAUGAUUUGUUUGAUCAAUUGCAAGGUGCAAGUUACUUCUCAAAGAUAGACCUUCGCUCUGGCUAUCAUCAACUCAGAGUUAGGGAAUGUGAUAUCCCAAAGACAGCCUCCCGAAUACGUUAUGGUCAUUUUGAGUUUCUUGUUAUGUCCUUCGGGCUAACUAAUUCCCCAGCAGCUUUCAUUGACCUCAUGAAUCGAGUGUUCAGGCCAUAUCUUGAUAUGUUUGUCAUAGUGUUAAUAGAAGACAUUCUGGUAUACUCCCGUAGUGAGAAUGAACAUGCAGAUCAUCUCUAUAUCGUCUUGCAAACCCUUAGAGAUCAUCACUUGUUCGCCAAAUUUAGCAAGUGUGAAUUUUGGCUAAGGUCAGUUGCUUUUUUGGGUCAUAUUAUUUCUUUCGAAGGUGUUAGAGUUGAUCCCCAAAAAAUAAAAGCUAUUAGAAACUGGCCUAGACCUGUCUCUCCGUCCAACAUUAGAAGUUUCUUGGGUCUAGUUGGCUAUUACCGCCGUUUUGUUGAAGGUUUCUACUCUAUAGCAUCUCCUAUGACCCGGUUGACCCAAAAGAAAGUGAAGUUCUUGUGGUCCGAUUCUUGUGAGAAUAGUUUUCGAAAGUUAAAAAGUCAACUCACUACAGCCCCUAUUUUGACUCUGCCUGAUGGCGUUGAUGGUUUUGUGGUAUAUUGUGAUACUUCUAGAGUUGGUUUGGGUUGUGUACUGAUGCAGAGAGGUAAGGUUAUAGCCUAUGCCUCUAGGUAGCUUAAACCCCAUGAGAAAAAUUACCCCACCCAUGAUCUUGAGUUAGUUGCUGUUGUGUUUGCUCUGAAAAUCUGGAGACACUACUUGUAUGGGGUUCAUUUUGAUGUUUUCACUGAUCAUAAGAGUCUACAGUAUGUUUUACCCAGAGAGAGUUGAAUCUUAGGUAGAGAAGGUGGUUAGCGUUAUUGAAAGACUAUGAUAUGAGUGUGUUGUAUCAUCCGGGAAAUGCCAAUGUAGUGGCGAAUGCCCUUAGCAGGAUGUCUAUGGGUAGUGUUUCGCAUAUUAGAGAGAGUAAGAAGGAGUUGGCUCGUGAUGUGCAUCGGUUGGCUAGGUUGGGAGUUAGGUUGCUUGACUCCUAUGAAGGGAGUAUGUUAGUUCAGAGUAGCUCCGAAUCCUCCUUGGUUUCAGAAGUAAAGGAGAAGCAAAUCUUAGAUGCUAGUUUGGUCAGACUGAAAGAAUCAGUCAAGGACCAAAAGGUGGAGGUUUUCUCCCAAGAGGGGGAUGGUGUGUUAAGAUUGCAAGAUAAAUUAUGUGUUCCGGAUGUCGAGGAUCUGAGACAGAGAAUUAUGGUUGAAGCGCACAAUGCACGAUAUUCUAUUCAUCCUGGUACCACUAAGAUGUACCGCGACUUACGGGAAAUCUAUUGGUGGAGUGGCAUGAAGAAGGAUAUAGCAGCAUUUGUGGCUAAGUGUGUGACAUGCCAAUAGGUUAAGGUAGAACACCAAAGACCUGGUGGUAUGAUAUAGGAGUUCGGUAUUCCCACUUGGAAGUGGGAAGAGAUAAACAUGGAUUUUAUGACUGGUUUACCUCCUUCCCGACUCCAGCAUGAUUCCAUUUGGGUUGUUGUGGAUAGAUUAACUAAGUCUGUGCACUUCUUGCCUGAGCAGACUUCUUAUACUGCUGAGGAUUACGCUAGAUUGUACAUUCGGGAAUUAGUCAGAUUGCAUGGAGUUCCCUUGUCCAUCAUUUCAGAUAGGGGUACUCAGUUUACUUCGCAGUUUUGGAGAGCUUUUCAAAAGGGUCUUGGUAUCCAAGUGCAUUUGAGUUCUGCUUUCCAUCCGCAGACAGAUGGUCAGGCUGAGAGGACCAUCCAGACCUUAGAGGAUAUGUUGAGAGCGUGUGCUCUUGACUUUAAGGGGAGUUGGGAUGAUCAUUUACCGUUGAUAGAGUUUUCUUACAAUAACAGUUUUCAUUCUAGCAUUGGCAUGGCUCCAUUUGAGGCUUUGAAUGAGAGGAAAUAUAGGUCACCCAUAGGUUGUUUUGAAGCGGGUGAAGCGGUCGUGAGUGGUCCUGAUUCGGUCUUUGAAUUUAUGGAAAAAGUCAAAGUGAUUAGAGAAAGAUUAAAAACCGCACAGAGUCGCCAGAAGUCGUAUGCUAAUGUGAGGAGAAGAGACCUUGAAUUUGAAGUUGGUGACUUGGUGUAUUUGAAGAUUUCACCCAUGAAGGGAGUGAAGAGAUUUGGAAAGAAGGGGAAACUUAGUCCCCAUUAUGUUAGCCCCUAUAGAGUUCUUAGCCGUGUUGGUAAGGUAGCGUAUGAGGUUGCGCUGCCUUAAGAGUUAUUUUCCGUUCAUUCUGUCUUCCAUGUAUCCAUGCUUAGGAAAUACGUUGGUGAUUGUGUUGUGUUAGAUCCUUCAGAAAACCCUGUUGUGCAAGAUAGUCUUUCUUUUGAGGAAGUUCCUGUUGAGAUUUUAGAUCACCAAGUCCGAAGACUAAGGAACAAAGAAGUUCCCUUGGUCAAGGUAUUGUGGCGAAACCAAUCUGUUGAGGAUGCAACAUGGGAAGCUGAGGCGGAUAUGCGAUCCAAGUACCCUCACCUAUUUUCCAUAAGCUCUGAUCAAGCCGAAGGUACCAUUCUGCUUUAAAUCAUUCCUUUUCUAUGCAGAAUUACAGUAGUUCAAUAGUUAUUUUAUACGAUUCAGCUGUGAUUUCAUGAGUGAUGCACCCCUUGUUAUGUCGGAAAUGUAGAAUGAAAUAGAGGCAAGAAUAGCAAGUUGCUACAUCUUUGUACCCUUCAUUUUCUCUUUACUCAUAGUAUACCCAGCGUCAUUCGAGGACGAAUGUCCCCAAGGGGGAGAUAUUGUAAUGCCCCGCACUUUUCUAAGCUAGAAAAUGAACCGUUGUUCGUAUAUAUGAAAACCCUAAUUUUGUAAGCCAUAUUUGGGAACCUAAAUUACCAAGACUACCCUAGUUAUAAGAGAGCUUAUGAUGUGUUAAGUGUGGUUAUAUGAGUCACUUAAGGUAGUACAAGCUAAGAGUUUCAAAAACCAUCAACUUUUAGUGUUUCAAUUUGCAAGGGUCAUCUUUGAAUGAGCAUAACUUGAUAAAUAUGUGGUAUUUUUGCAUAUUUCUACCUGCAAAAGUAUAGAUAAUCGAAAGUUAUGGCUUUACAAAGUAGAGUGCGUUGUCUAACCAAUCGCACAUGGCCACUGGAAAGCAUGUGCGAUAGCAUAUGCGGCGCCUAUGUAAAUAUCGGCGAUAUCAUAUGUGGCGCCUAUGUAAAUAUAGGCGAUAUCAUAUGCGGCGCCUAUGUAAAUAUAUGUGAUAUCAUAUGCGGCGCAUAUCUUAUGGUUUCAAGUGACUUAAACACUCUGUUUUUGGGUUAUUUUGAGGGAAAUUAAGUCUUUUGGCACUCCUUACACACCCCUAAACUUAACCUUACGAAUUUAAUAGAUUCUAAACACAUCAUAACCCUAUUAUCAGUCUAAGUUCAUCAUCCAAGAGUUCAAGAUACUAUGAUUAUUUUGAAUGUUUAGAAAAUAAACUCCAUGAGUUUGAGAUUAUUGUUAUGAUUAAAGGCUGAAAUUUUUUUAGAUUUCCGUAUAAACUAUGCACGCUUGUGAUAUAAAGUAUAAAUGUUGAAAUGUUUUAAUUAAGUAUCGCUAUAAGGGUCAUUAACCCACAUUGAGAUUGUUGUUUUGAGAAUUUAUGUGCUACAUGCACCCAUGUUUAGACUAUUUUUUAUGAAGUAUAGAAAGAUUUGACCUUUUGGUCACAACAGAGUUAAAAUCCACUUUAUGAAACGAGUUACGAAUUUUAUCAUUUAUUUAACUUAAGAAAUAUGAGAUUACCUUUAAAGUGAAUUUUUCUUGAGAUUUCUGAGCAUAGUAAUGGGAGUAGUAUUUAGCACCGAGUUGGAUAUGUUACUACGGCUUCAUACCCCAGAAUUACGUGCCACCGUAGGUUGAAACAUUGACUUCCACUAUACGUGGAAAAUUGAGAUAGUGAUCACUGAGAUAAGAUUGUUCUACACCGAUGGCAAGGGUAGGACAGCCCUAACCUUACGGGGGCAAGUCGUGGGAUAUCAUGGGUGCUCACAUGGUGUGCAUGUCGGUUAGAAGAACCUCCCAAAG
rnacentral:lncRNA from 1 species